rnacentral:rRNA from 1 species
GGUUAAGCGACUAAGCGUACACGGUGGAUGCCCUGGCAGUCAGAGGCGAUGAAGGACGUGCUAAUCUGCGAUAAGCGUCGGUAAGGUGAUAUGAACCGUUAUAACCGGCGAUUUCCGAAUGGGGAAACCCAGUGUGUUUCGACACACUAUCAUUAACUGAAUCCAUAGGUUAAUGAGGCGAACCGGGGGAACUGAAACAUCUAAGUACCCCGAGGAAAAGAAAUCAACCGAGAUUCCCCCAGUAGCGGCGAGCGAACGGGGAGCAGCCCAGAGCCUGAAUCAGUGUGUGUGUUAGUGGAAGCGUCUGGAAAGGCGCGCGAUACAGGGUGACAGCCCCGUACACAAAAAUGCACAUGCUGUGAGCUCGAUGAGUAGGGCGGGACACGUGGUAUCCUGUCUGAAUAUGGGGGGACCAUCCUCCAAGGCUAAAUACUCCUGACUGACCGAUAGUGAACCAGUACCGUGAGGGAAAGGCGAAAAGAACCCCGGCGAGGGGAGUGAAAAAGAACCUGAAACCGUGUACGUACAAGCAGUGGGAGCCUCUUUAUGGGGUGACUGCGUACCUUUUGUAUAAUGGGUCAGCGACUUAUAUUCUGUAGCAAGGUUAACCGAAUAGGGGAGCCGAAGGGAAACCGAGUCUUAACUGGGCGUUAAGUUGCAGGGUAUAGACCCGAAACCCGGUGAUCUAGCCAUGGGCAGGUUGAAGGUUGGGUAACACUAACUGGAGGACCGAACCGACUAAUGUUGAAAAAUUAGCGGAUGACUUGUGGCUGGGGGUGAAAGGCCAAUCAAACCGGGAGAUAGCUGGUUCUCCCCGAAAGCUAUUUAGGUAGCGCCUCGUGAAUUCAUCUCCGGGGGUAGAGCACUGUUUCGGCAAGGGGGUCAUCCCGACUUACCAACCCGAUGCAAACUGCGAAUACCGGAGAAUGUUAUCACGGGAGACACACGGCGGGUGCUAACGUCCGUCGUGAAGAGGGAAACAACCCAGACCGCCAGCUAAGGUCCCAAAGUCAUGGUUAAGUGGGAAACGAUGUGGGAAGGCCCAGACAGCCAGGAUGUUGGCUUAGAAGCAGCCAUCAUUUAAAGAAAGCGUAAUAGCUCACUGGUCGAGUCGGCCUGCGCGGAAGAUGUAACGGGGCUAAACCAUGCACCGAAGCUGCGGCAGCGACACUAUGUGUUGUUGGGUAGGGGAGCGUUCUGUAAGCCUGUGAAGGUGUACUGUGAGGUAUGCUGGAGGUAUCAGAAGUGCGAAUGCUGACAUAAGUAACGAUAAAGCGGGUGAAAAGCCCGCUCGCCGGAAGACCAAGGGUUCCUGUCCAACGUUAAUCGGGGCAGGGUGAGUCGACCCCUAAGGCGAGGCCGAAAGGCGUAGUCGAUGGGAAACAGGUUAAUAUUCCUGUACUUGGUGUUACUGCGAAGGGGGGACGGAGAAGGCUAUGUUGGCCGGGCGACGGUUGUCCCGGUUUAAGCGUGUAGGCUGGUUUUCCAGGCAAAUCCGGAAAAUCAAGGCUGAGGCGUGAUGACGAGGCACUACGGUGCUGAAGCAACAAAUGCCCUGCUUCCAGGAAAAGCCUCUAAGCAUCAGGUAACAUCAAAUCGUACCCCAAACCGACACAGGUGGUCAGGUAGAGAAUACCAAGGCGCUUGAGAGAACUCGGGUGAAGGAACUAGGCAAAAUGGUGCCGUAACUUCGGGAGAAGGCACGCUGAUAUGUAGGUGAAGCGACUUGCUCGUGGAGCUGAAAUCAGUCGAAGAUACCAGCUGGCUGCAACUGUUUAUUAAAAACACAGCACUGUGCAAACACGAAAGUGGACGUAUACGGUGUGACGCCUGCCCGGUGCCGGAAGGUUAAUUGAUGGGGUUAGCGGUAACGCGAAGCUCUUGAUCGAAGCCCCGGUAAACGGCGGCCGUAACUAUAACGGUCCUAAGGUAGCGAAAUUCCUUGUCGGGUAAGUUCCGACCUGCACGAAUGGCGUAAUGAUGGCCAGGCUGUCUCCACCCGAGACUCAGUGAAAUUGAACUCGCUGUGAAGAUGCAGUGUACCCGCGGCAAGACGGAAAGACCCCGUGAACCUUUACUAUAGCUUGACACUGAACAUUGAGCCUUGAUGUGUAGGAUAGGUGGGAGGCUUUGAAGUGUGGACGCCAGUCUGCAUGGAGCCGGCCUUGAAAUACCACCCUUUAAUGUUUGAUGUUCUAACGUUGGCCCCUGAUCGGGGUUGCGGACAGUGUCUGGUGGGUAGUUUGACUGGGGCGGUCUCCUCCUAAAGAGUAACGGAGGAGCACGAAGGUUGGCUAAUCCUGGUCGGACAUCAGGAGGUUAGUGCAAUGGCAUAAGCCAGCUUGACUGCGAGCGUGACGGCGCGAGCAGGUGCGAAAGCAGGUCAUAGUGAUCCGGUGGUUCUGAAUGGAAGGGCCAUCGCUCAACGGAUAAAAGGUACUCCGGGGAUAACAGGCUGAUACCGCCCAAGAGUUCAUAUCGACGGCGGUGUUUGGCACCUCGAUGUCGGCUCAUCACAUCCUGGGGCUGAAGUAGGUCCCAAGGGUAUGGCUGUUCGCCAUUUAAAGUGGUACGCGAGCUGGGUUUAGAACGUCGUGAGACAGUUCGGUCCCUAUCUGCCGUGGGCGCUGGAGAACUGAGGGGGGCUGCUCCUAGUACGAGAGGACCGGAGUGGACGCAUCACUGGUGUUCGGGUUGUCAUGCCAAUGGCACUGCCCGGUAGCUAAAUGCGGAAGAGAUAAGUGCUGAAAGCAUCUAAGCACGAAACUUGCCCCGAGAUGAGUUCUCCCUGAGACUUAGAGUCUCCUGAAGGAACGUUGAAGACGACGACGUUGAUAGGCCGGGUGUGUAAGCGCAGCGAUGCGUUGAGCUAACCGGUACUAAUGAACCGUGAGGCUUAACCUU